AGUGAACGCUGGCGGUAGGCCUAACACAUGCAAGUCGAACGGCCACACAGUAAGCUCUUGCUCUUACCGGUGGCGAGUGGCGGGCGGGUGAGGCAUACAUCGGCAUCUUCUUUUUCGUGGGGGAUAACGUAGGGAAACUUACACUAAUACCGCAUACGACCUACGGCUGAAAGCAGUGGUUCUUCGCACCUUGCCUGUUUCUAUUAGCCGAUGCCGGAUUAGCUAGUUGGCGGGGUAAAGGCCCACCAAGGCAACGAUCCGUAGCUGGUCUGAGAGGAUGAUCAGCCACACUGGAACUGAGACACGGUCCAGACUCCUACGGGAGGCAGCAGUGGGGAAUAUUGGACAAUGGGCGCAAGCCUGAUCGAGCCAUACCGCGUGAGUGAAGAAGGCCUUCGGGUUGUAAAGCCCUUUUGUUGGGAAAGAAAAGCAGCAGGUUAAUACCCCGCUGUUCUGACGGUACCCAAAGAAUAAGCACCGGCUAACUUCGUG
rnacentral:rRNA from 1 species